UAAAAAAGCAAGAAGCCCCUCGGCACCUACAACAAAAGCCGCUCGGAGGGCCGAGGAGCUGCACGAGCCGCGGGCACGCCGUUAGCUGUGAGGGGCGCGGAGGGCCUCGCCCCCCCCCCCCCCCCCCAGCCCGCCUCGCGCCCAACUGUCACGCGCGAGCCGCGCUCUGGGCGCCCCACAGCCGCUGCGACCUCCGCGGUGCGAGGCCGGGGGUUGCGCCCACUCACCCAGAAGAUGACAUUGAAGCCGAAGAUGAAAUAUUUGAUGCAACAACUGACUUCGGGCCCCUUGUAGUGCUUCCCGGACAUCCUCUGCGCUCAUGAAGACACUUUGCUCGCGGCCAGGAUGAAAACCGAAGAGGGUAGUCCUGCUUGCUCUGUGUAUUGUAUCAGUCUGCAGUCCUCAGGGAAGUUGAUGUUUUUCCACCCAGAAGUAUUAACUUCUUAGAAGAAACUGACUAGAUCAGCCGAAAAACAAGAUCCAGCUGGAAGCACUUAUUCCUUUGAAAGCCAACUUUAUAAGAAAGAGCUACAGCAGCUACCUCAAACACCUGUAAAGUGGGUUGCUUC
rnacentral:lncRNA from 1 species